UAGUCCACGCCGUAAACGAUGGAUACUAGCCGUUCGGUAGCAAUACUGAGUGGCUAAGCGAAAGUGAUAAGUAUCCCACCUGGGGAGUACGUUCGCAGGAAUGAAACUCAAAGGAAUUGACGGGGGCCCGCACAAGCGGUGGAGCAUGUGGUUUAAUUCGAUGAUACGCGAGGAACCUUACCAGGGCUUAAAUGUAGUAUGACAGGGGUGGAAACACCUUUUCCUUCGGGCAUAUUACAAGGUGCUGCAUGGUUGUCGUCAGCUCGUGCCGUGAGGUGUCAGGUUAAGUCCUAUAACGAGCGCAACCCCUGUUGUUAGUUGCCAGCGAGUCAUGUCGGGAACUCUAACAAGACUGCCGGUGCAAACCGUGAGGAAGGUGGGGAUGACGUCAAAUCAUCACGGCCCUUACGUCCUGGGGCUACACACGUGCUACAAUGGGUAGGUACAGGAGAGCAGCCACUGCGUGAGCAGGG
rnacentral:rRNA from 1 species